GGGAUGCACGCCGGGACGAGACCAGCGCCCUGUCGCUCUUGGGCAAAGCGAGCAUGCAGUUGAAGCGCUGGGACGAUGCUGUUGAGGCCUUCCGGGCUGUCAUAGAGUUGGAGGAG
rnacentral:snRNA from 1 species